rnacentral:rRNA from 1 species
CUACGGGCGGCUCCAGUGGGGAAUAUUGCACAAUGGGCGCAAGCCUGAUGCAGCCAUGCCGCGUGUAUGAAGAAGGCCUUCGGGUUGUAAAGUACUUUCAGCGGGGAGGAAGGGAGUAAAGUUAAUACCUUUGCUCAUUGACGUUACCCGCAGAAGAAGCACCGGCUAACUCCGUGCCAGCAGCCGCGGUAAUACGGAGGGUGCAAGCGUUAAUCGGAAUUACUGGGCGUAAAGCGCACGCAGGCGGUUUGUUAAGUCAGAUAUGAAAUCCCCGGGCUCAACCUGGGAACUGCAUCUGAUACUGGCAAGCUUGAGUCUCGUAGAGGGGGGUAGAAUUCCAGGUGUAGCGGUGAAAUGCGUAGAGAUCUGGAGGAAUACCGGUGGCGAAGGCGGCCCCCUGGACGAAGACUGACGCUCAGGUGCGAAAGCGUGGGGAGCAAACAGGAUUAGAUACCCGAGUAGUC